GACGAACGCUGGCGGCGUGCUUAACACAUGCAAGUCGAACGGUAAGGCCCUUCGGGGUACACGAGUGGCGAACGGGUGAGUAACACGUGGGUGAUCUGCCCUGCACUUCGGGAUAAGCCUGGGAAACUGGGUCUAAUACCGGAUAGGACCACUGCCUGCAUGGGUGGUGGGGGAAAGCUUUUGCGGUGUGGGAUGGGCCCGCGGCCUAUCAGCUUGUUGGUGGGGUGAUGGCCUACCAAGGCGAGGACGGGUAGCCGGCCUGAGAGGGUGACCGGCCACACUGGGACUGAGAUACGGCCCAGACUCCUACGGGAGGCAGCAGUGGGGAAUAUUGCACAAUGGGCGCAAGCCUGAUGCAGCGACGCCGCGUGAGGGAUGACGGCCUUCGGGUUGUAAACCUCUUUCAGCACCGACGAAGCACAAGUGACGGUAGGUGCAGAAGAAGGACCGGCCAACUACGUGCCAGCCGCCGCCGUAA
rnacentral:rRNA from 1 species